rnacentral:rRNA from 1 species
UACGAAGGGGGCUAGCGUUGCUCGGAAUCACUGGGCGUAAAGCGCACGUAGGCGGAUCUUUAAGUCAGGGGUGAAAUCCUGGAGCUCAACUCCAGAACUGCCUUUGAUACUGGGGAUCUCGAGUCCGGGAGAGGUGAGUGGAACUCCGAGUGUAGAGGUGAAAUUCGUAGAUAUUCGGAGGAACACCAGUGGCGAAGGCGGCUCACUGGUCCGGUACUGACGCUGAGGUGCGAAAGCGUGGGGAGCAAACAGGGAUUAAGAAACCC